UACGUAGGGUGCGAGCGUUGUCCGGAAUUAUUGGGCGUAAAGAGCUCGUAGGCGGUGUGUCACGUCGUUCGUGAAAACCUGCAGCUUAACUGUGGGCGUGCGGUCGAUACGGGCAUCACUGGAGUUCGGCAGGGGAGACUGGAAUUCCUGGUGUAGCGGUGAAAUGCGCAGAUAUCAGGAGGAACACCGGUGGUGAAGACGGUCCCCUGGGCCGAGGCCGACGCUGAGGCGCGAGAGCGCGGGGAGCGAACCGG
rnacentral:rRNA from 1 species